rnacentral:rRNA from 1 species
UGUGAAGGAAAGGUGAAAAGGACCCCGGGAGGGGAGUGAAAGAGAACCUGAAACCCUGUGUUUACAAGCUGUGGAAGUGCCUUAUGUGCACAACCGCGUACUUUUUGUAGAACGGUCCGGCGAGUUGCGGAUGCCGGCAAGGUUAAGCACUUAAGGUGUGGAGCCGAAGGGAAACCAAGUCUUAAUAGGGCGUCCAGUCAGCCGGAGUAGACCCGAAACCGGGUGAUCUAUCCAUGUCCAGGUUGAAGUUGCCGUAAAAGGCAAUGGAGGACCGAACCCACAUCCGUUGAAAAGGGUGGGGAUGAGGUGUGGAUAGGGGAGAAAUUCCAAUCGAACCCGGAGAUAGCUGGUUCUCCUCGAAAUAGCUUUAGGGCUAGCCUCAUGGAUCAUUGGUGGGGGUAGAGCACUGAAUGUGCGCGGGGGCCACAAAGCCUACCAAACGCUAUCAAACUUCGAAUACCAUACAAUGCAGACCAUGGGAGUCAGUCCGCGAGAGAUAAGUUCCGCGGGCAAAAGGGGAACACCCCAGAUCAACCGCUAAGGUCCCCAAGUUCACGUUAAGUGGAGAAGGAUGUGGAAUUGCACAGACAACCAGGAUGUUGGCUCAGAAGCAGCCACACAUUUAAAGAGUGCGUAAUAGCUCACUGGUCGAGUGAUUGUGCGCCGAAGAUGUCCGGGGCUAAACGUGACACCGAAGCGAUGGGUGAGUCUGAAGAAGAUGCGCGGUAGAGGAGCAAUGUGCAGAGGCAGAAGCCGUAUCGAGAGGCACGGUGGACACUGCACAAGAGAGAAUGCCGGUAUGAGUAGCGAGAGGCAUGCGAGAAACAUGCCCGUCGAAAGCCCAAGGUUUCCUGGGGAAGGUUCAUCCGCCCAGGGUAAGUCGGGGCCUAAGCCGAGGACGGAAGUCGUAGGCGAUGGACAGCAGGUGUAGAUUCCUGCACUACCGAUGGAAUGAAGCAGUGACACAGAAGGAUAACUCGAGCAGGGUGAUGGUCAACCCUGUGCAAGCAUCAAGGUUGGGUUGUAGUGAAGUACGCAACCCUAUAAGCUGAGAUGUGAUGCGGACCGAAAUUUCAGUAGGGAAGCGAGUGAGUUCACGCUGGCGAGAAAAGCUGCUAGUAUAUCCAAAGGUACCCGUACCGGAAACCGACGCAGGUGGGCGAGGAGAGAAUCCUGAGACGAACGGGAGAACCCUUGUUAAGGAACUCGGCAAAAUGACCCCGUAACUUCGGGAUAAGGGGUGCCUGCGAGAGCAGGCCGCAGAGAAUAGUCACAAGCGACUGUUUAGCAAAAACACAGGUAUCUGCGAAAGCGAGAGCUGACGUAUAGGUGCUGACACCUGCCCGGUGCUGGAAGGUUAAGGGAACAUGUUAGAGCAAUCGAAGCAUCGAACCGAAGCCCCAGUAAACGGCGGCCGUAACUAUAACGGUCCUAAGGUAGCGAAAUUCCUUGUCGGGUAAGUUCCGACCCGCACGAAUGGUGUAACGAUUUGGGUACUGUCUCAACAAGGGACCCGGCGAAAUUGUAGUAUGUGUGAAGAUGCACAUUACCCGCGAUAGGACGGAAAGACCCCGUAGAGCUUUACUGCAGCCUGAUAUUGAGUUUCGGUAACUGAUGCACAGGAUAGGUGGGAGUCUGAGAGACAUGGGUUUCGGCUCGUGAGGAGACGCUGUUGGGAUACCACUCUUCGGUUACUGAAAUUCUAACAUAGCUCUGUGAAACCAGAGGAUGGACAGUGUCAGGUGGACAGUUUGACUGGGGCGGUCGCCUCCGAAAGAGUAACGGAGGCGCCCAAAGGUACCCUCAGAAUGGAUGGAAACCAUUCGAAGAGCGCAAAGGCAGAAGGGUGCCUGACUGCGAGAUUGACAAAUCGAGCAGAGAGGAAACUCGGACUUAGUGACCCGGCGGUAUGAGAGUGGAAUUGCCGUCGCUCAACGGAUAAAAGCUACCUCGG